rnacentral:rRNA from 1 species
CGAGUGUAGAGGUGAAAUUCGUAGAUAUUCGGUGGAACACCAGUGGCGAAGGCGACUAACUGGACUGAUACUGACGCUGAGGUGCGAAAGUGUGGGGAGCAAACAGGAUUAGAUACCCUGGUAGUCCACACCGUAAACGCUGUCUACUAGCUGUUUGUGGAUAUUAUCCGUGAGUAGCGAAGCUAACGCGCUAAGUAGACCGCCUGGGGAGUACGGCCGCAAGGUUAAAACUCAAAUGAAUUGACGGGGGCCCGCACAAGCGGCGGAGCAUGUGGAUUAAUUCGAUGCAACGCGAAGAACCUUACCUGGGCUUGACAUACACUGGAUCGCUGCAGAGAUGUAGUUUCCCUUUGUGGCUGGUGUACAGGUGGUGCAUGGUUGUCGUCAGCUCGUGUCGUGAGAUGUUGGGUUAAG